rnacentral:lncRNA from 1 species
UUUUCGAUAAUUUGGGCUUUAAUGUAUCUAAUCAAUUGUAGGCCUUUAAUGUACAGAGACUUAAGACUAUUUUCUAUUUCCAUGAUGGGUUGGAAUAAGAAUACAUAAAGACAAAAGAAAAAUUUGUUUAUAUAAGUAGUUAUUGUCCCUAGGUCUGCUGUACCGUACAUCCGCCUUCGCCGUACAGCAGCGCCGGAUUCUUGACCAACUCUUGAACACAAGGCACAAGGAGAGAACUUCCAAUCUGGGCCAUCUUUUGUUCCUCAAAUCCUUUCAAGAUUGCUGCAGCUUUGUAUUGGUUUUGGAACAAGACUGAGUGCUGACAAUCACAAAAGUAAAAAGGAAUCUUUUUCCAAGUAAUUAAUCAGCAUCCUCCACCUAACCAUUCAUGAAGUAUUUUUAAUUUUUUGCACAUGUUUCGAAUGCAAAAUAAAAUAUUCGCAGGUCAAAACUAUCCUCUAUGGAUAACGAUGACAAACCAUCAGCCAAUUAAUUAUUUGUGGUUCCCACCUUGUCAUCAACCCAAAAGGCGAAGGUAUUUUCAAUACUGCGUUUUGUUUUCUUUUCCCCUUUUUAUUUUUCUUUCACAACUUGGUAUUUUGCUCUUGACUUGUGCGAGUAAUCCACCAUUGCGUGUCUGCAGUUAAAAGGACUUUGGUGGUUCUCGAGUAUUACUUUUUAUCUAUUCAAAUCUUAUAUAUGGGUAAACAUAUUAUCAUUAUUGAUUAAAACAUAUAUAUGAUUACCUAAAAAUUUUUCUAACACGCUGCAAUCUGGUGCUGUGUUGGAAUUGACUGUGCACUAUUAAGAAAAUAGUGGAUUCGAAUUGUAAUCGAUUAGUCAUUUAUACAAUUAUAGCUGUGUUGUAAUUGACUGUGCACUAUCCAGGUGAGAUUUUCCCCUAAGCUCACGAGCAAACCGGC